rnacentral:rRNA from 1 species
UUACAAUUGGAAUGAGUACAAUUUAAAUCUCUUAACGAGUAACAAUUGGAGGGCAAGUCUGGUGCCAGCAGCCGCGGUAAUUCCAGCUCCAAUAGCGUAUAUUAAAGUUGCUGCAGUUAAAAAGCUCGUAGUUGAAUUUCUGGUGGGAGCGUACAGUCCGACACUGAGUGCUGGUUCUUGUGUGUCUCCGGCCAUCCUUGGAGUGAAUCUGUCUGGCAUUCAGUUGUUGGGCAGAGUAUCUCCAUCGUUUACUGUGAGGAAAUGAGAGUGUUCAAAGCAGGCUUACGCCGUUGAAUCUUUUAGCAUGGAAUAAUAAGAUAGGAUCUUGAUACUAUUUUGUUGGUUUGCGUGUCAAGAUAAUGAUCAAUAGGGACAGUUGGGGGUAUUUGUAUUCCAUAGUCAGAGGUGAAAUUCUUGGAUUUAUGGAAGACAAACUAAUGCGAAAGCAUCUACCAAGGAUGUUUUCAUUAAUCAAGAACGAAAGUGUGGGGAUCGAAGAUGAUUAGAUACCAUCGUAGUCUACACCAUAAACCAUGCCGA